AAAAAAUGCAAUGAGUCAAAAGGAAGAGUGGACCAUCAGUAACAAGUCGGACAGGCGGAGAUUGCUGCACACCAGCCUCAUGUUAACAGAGAGCUUACACCACCGACGUGAGUCAAAAAUAAUAUUCAAUGGAUUAAACACUCAGUACCUGCACACUUACUCUCCAGAUGGGAGCCGUGGCUUCUCAGCAAGUUCCAUGCCACCUGAAAAAACAGCAUUUCUUGUGGGAAUUCCAGGGAAAGGAAGUAUUAAAGGUCUGUGGAGGCAGGAACUGCAGCCUUCAGCACUGAGCUGCCUCUGCUGUUCCGGAAUGGUGUGCAGUGAUGCCUGCUGUGAUGCAGUUACAGGGUGAGUAGGCCACAGGGAUCAGAAGGAGUAUGCCAUAUCUUUGUUUCUUUAUGCUUGCUCACUUGGGAUC
rnacentral:lncRNA from 1 species